rnacentral:rRNA from 1 species
AACGAACGCUGGCGGCAGGCUUAACACAUGCAAGUCGAACGCCCCGCAAGGGGAGUGGCGCACGGGUGAGUAACACGUGGGAACGUACCCCUGAAGUCAGGAAUAACGUCGGGAAACUGACGCUAAUACCUGAUAUACUCUACGGAGGAAAGAUUUAUCGCUUCAGGAGCGGCCCGCGCAAGAUUAGCUAGUUGGUGGGGUAACGGCUCACCAAGGCGACGAUCGGUAGGGGGUGUGAGAGCAUGACCCCCCACACGGGUACUGAGACACGGACCCGACUCCUACGGGAGGCAGCAGUAAGGAAUAUUGGACAAUGGAGGGAACUCUGAUCCAGCCAUGCCGCGUGAAGGAUGAAGGCGCUCAGCGUUGUAAACUUCUUUUGGAUGGGAACAAUAACUUCUACGUGUAGGAGCUUGAGGGUACCAUCAGAAUAAGCACCGGCUAACUCCGUG